CGAAGUUGGAAUUGCUAGUGAUCGCGGAUCAGCAUGCCGCGGUGAAUACGUUCCCGGGUCUUGUACACACCGCCCGUCACACCAUGGGAGCUGGUAACACCCGAAGUCAGUAGUCUAACCGCAAGGAGGACGCUGCCGAAGGUGGGAUUAGCGACUGGGGUGAAGUCGUAACAAGGUAUC
rnacentral:rRNA from 1 species